rnacentral:rRNA from 1 species
AUUGAACGCUGGCGGCAUGCUUUACACAUGCAAGUCGAACGGUAACAGGUUAAGCUGACGAGUGGCGAACGGGUGAGUAAUGCAUCGGAACGUGCCCGAUCGUGGGGGAUAACGCAGCGAAAGCUGCGCUAAUACCGCAUACGAUCUGAGGAUGAAAGCGGGGGACCGUAAGGCCUCGCGCGAUCGGAGCGGCCGAUGUCAGAUUAGGUAGUUGGUGGGGUAAAGGCGCACCAAGCCAACGAUCUGUAGCUGGUCUGAGAGGAAGACCAGCCACACUGUGACUGAGACACGGCCCAGACGCCUACGGGAGGCAGCAGUGGGGAAUUUUGGAGAAUGGGCGAAAGCCUGAUCCAGCAAUGCCGCGUGCAGGAAGAAGGCCUUCGGGUUGUAAACUGCUUUUGUACGGAGCGAAAAGGUCUCCUCUAAUACAGGGGGCUCAUGACGGUACCGUAAGAAUAAGCACCGGCUAACUACGUGCCAGCAGCCGCGGUAA